rnacentral:rRNA from 1 species
GACGAACGCUGGCGGCGUGCUUAACACAUGCAAGUCGAACGGUGACGCGCCUUCCGUUUGGGCUGGUGUGGAUGAGUGGCGGACGGGUGAGUAACACGUGAGUAACCUGCCCUCUUCUUCUGGAUAACCGAGUGAAAGUGUGGCUAAUACGGGAUACUCCGGGUCUGUCGCAUGAUGGGACUGUGGAAGAUAUUGCUUCGGUGUGGGCUGGGCUCGGGGCCUAUCAGGUUGUUGGUGGGGAGAUGGCCUACCAAGGCGGUGUCGAGUUGCCGGCAUGAGAGGGUGGACCGCCACAGAGGGACUGAGCGGCCGCGCAGACUCCGACGGGCAGCAGCAGGGAGUAUUGUUGCACAGGGGGCGGAAGCCUCCUGCCGCGACGCGGCGGGGGAGAAGGAGGCCUGGGGGUUGUGAACCUCUUUCGCGAGUGAAGCGCGGCUGCCUCGUAUGUGGGUGGGUUGACGGUAGCUGGAGAAGAAGCGCCGGCUAACUACGUG